rnacentral:miRNA from 1 species
ACUCUCUAACCUGACAGAAAACU